AACCUGGUUGAUCCUGCCAGUAGUCAUACGCUCGUCUCAAAGAUUAAGCCAUGCAUGUGUAAGUUCAAUGAUUUGACCAAAAAACUGCGAAUGGCUCAUUAUAUCAGUUAUAGUUUAUUUGAUAGUCCCUUACUACUUGGAUACCCGUAGUAAUUCUAGAGCUAAUACAUGCGUAAACACUCGACCUUUGGGAGAGUGGUAUUUAUUAGAUUGAAACCAACCCGUUUCGGCGGUGUCCUGGUGAUUCAUAAUAACUUUUCGGAUUGCAUUGCAACAUUUCAUUCAAGUUUUCUGCCCUAUCAGCUUUGACGGUAGUGUAUUGGACUACCGUGGCUUUAACGGGUAACGGAGGAUUAAGGUCUGAUUCCCGGAGAGGGAGCCCUGAGAGAACGGGCUACCCCAUCCCCGGGAAGGCCAGC
rnacentral:rRNA from 1 species